rnacentral:rRNA from 1 species
CCUACGGGAGGCAGCAGUGGGGAAUAUUGCACAAUGGGGGGAACCCUGAUGCAGCGACGCCGCGUGAGUGAAGAAGUCUUUCGGUAUGUAAAGCUCUAUCAGCAGGGAAGAAAAUGACGGUAACUGACUAAGAAGCCCCGGCUAACGACGUGCCAGCAGCCGCGGGAAUACGCAGGGGGCAAGCGUUAUCCGGAUUUACUGGGUGUAAAGGGAGCGGAGCCGGCUGUGCAAGUCUGGAGUGAAAGGCGGGGGCCCAACCCCCGGACUGCUAUGGAACCUGUAAUGCUUGCGUGCAGGAGCGGUAAGCGGCAUUCCUCGUGUAGCGGUGAAAUGCGUAGAUAUUAGGAGGAACACCAGUGGCGCAUGCGGCUUACUGGACUGCAACUGCCGUUGAGGCUCGACAGCGUGGGGAGCAAACAGGAUUAGAUACCCUUGUAGUC